rnacentral:rRNA from 1 species
GACGAACGCUGGCGGCGUGCUUAACACAUGCAAGUCGUACGGUAAGGCCCUUUCGGGGGUCCACGAGUGGCGAACGGGUGCGUAACACGUGAGUAACCUGCCCACAACUUUGGGAUAACGCUAGGAAACUGGUGCUAAUACUGGAUAUGUGCCCCUGCUGCAUGGUGGGGGUUGGAAAGCUCCGGCGGUUGUGGGUGGACUCGCGGCCUAUCAGCUUGUUGGUGGGGUAGUGGCCUACCAAGGCGGCGACGGGUAGCCGGACUGAGAGGGUGACCGGCCACAUUGGGACUGAGAGACGGCCCAGACUCCUAAGGGAGGCAGCAGUGGGGAAUAUUGCACAAGGGGCGCAAGCCGGAUGCAGCAACGCCGCGGGCGGGAUGACGGCCUUGGGGUUGGAAACCGCUUUCAGCAGGGACGAAGCUUUUUGUGACGGUACCUGAAGAAGAAGCACCGGCUAACUACGUG